rnacentral:lncRNA from 1 species
CUGCCGCCUUGGGUGAUGCCCACUACAAUGGACCCAUGCUAUAGUUAUAUGGCUGGGGUGGACAAUCCCGAAAAGAUUAGGGAAGAUCCUAGGUACGUGUGGCUGUCUGUUACUAUUGCCUAGGUACAAUCCUAUAGAUUAUUUUUUUUGCUAAUUUUGCAUAGUGAUAAAUUUUUACAAGAAGAUGCAAAAUAUUUGUUGUCAUAUAGCCUAUCUGCGAACAUAAAUGCUCUAGAUCUAUUUAUAAUACUUUUGUAUUACUUAGAUUUUAUCAAGCUUUUAAGCAGUGCUCUAGCAGGAACGUUAAUGUUGUUGCUAUUUUUCUCUUGGCAUGUAAGGAGUGAAGUCGGUUCCUAUUGCUCAUCUUGGUGAAGCUUGAUUGGGUGUCUACUUGGAUAGAAAACAAGAUGAACUAACCACGUUAGGUACUAUUGAAUUCAGGUACAUACAUUGAUCCUUAAUCUAAUUUUGUCUACUGUUUUUUUGAAAUGAUGCAAUGGAAUUUCAUUAUGUUGCUGUAACUAUGAUAGUAAACUAUCAUAAUAGCAAGAAGAAAAUGUCAUAACUGCUCACAUAACCAAGACUAAUUUUGUUUCUGAAGUUAUUUAUUUGUGUAAUGUUAGUCACAGCGAAAAACACCACAACUGCUUGGCCGGUUGACUAGCUCAGUCCGGUCAUUCAACAUCCUACAUGUCACGCUUUGUAAAUUAGCAGCCUUGGUCACUGAGAGAUUUGUUAUUUUCUUUUGCUCACCAUUUUUUAUGUGUUUUAAAUUGGAGAAAAUACGAUGUAGCGCUCCUCCAUGCAGUGUGUGUAGCCCAGACAACGGUCUAUGAUGCAGGAUCCUUAGUUUUCGAGUGAUUUGUCUCUCAUGUAGUUCAAAUAUAUGGUGGCAUAAUUUAGAUUGCUAUUUUCCACAUCUUCCUUCUUAGCCAAAUUUAUGAUUGUUUUCAGUCCCUGUGAUAGUUGAUAGUGUAGGCUGCAGAUAUGGUGACUACGACCAUGAAGCCAUGAUGACACCAUGUGUCUUACUCUUAUCUGUGUUUCAGUCUAGAAGGAAAUAUUCCUGUGAGAAAUAUCAUAUUGCUUUGAAUCUGAUAAUAUAUUUCCAUGCACAUAGACAAUUUUCUUCAGUUAUUUACAGUUCAGAUUUUGAUUCCUAGGGAAGCUAAUAUAGUUUUUCUUAUGCAAAUGGCUACAGGUUGCAGACUUGCAGUCUUACUUUCUGAGUAUAUUUAACUCCAGUUUUCAUAUUUCUCUCUGAUUAUGUAAAGCCUAUGAAUUUAGUGUUCAACACAAAUGUAAUACUAUUCUACAUAUGGUCACUGAUUCUCCAAAGAAAUUAAAAACCCAUUUAUACUGAAUGUGCUCUAAUGUAACUGACCUCUGAUAUACGGCCAUGAGCCAUAUUAGAUCUUCCACGUGAUUGCAAUGGUGUUUUUAGCAGUACUUUGAAGUUUGGACAUAAUAGAAUUUUCUGCUUAAACACAUAGCCUUAUGGGAUAAGCUUUCAUGUACGUAAUCCCAAAAGUUGAGCUGAUGCUAGAUGAGGCUAAAUGUGCCUAAAAACUGAGGUGCUAUGCAUAUAAAGAACAUUCCAAGUUUCGCCGCAUUAUGAAUAUUUUUGUAUGUUUACCAAAUGUACCUUGCAGACCACUUCAUCUCCAUGACCUCUCCCUGUCGUGCAGAUUAUGCCCACAAAAUUUUGCUUUGACUCUAGCCGGGAACUCAUGCAUACAUCCAUCCACUACUGCACUUUAUAGGCUCCCUGUACUCGGGCUCCGAUGAUAGCAAGUAGAGACUCACAACCAGACACAUGAAGACCACCAGCGAUUUGCCGCUAACCGGCUACCUCCUCUAUUAGAUGACAAAAGUAUGACUGCUUGAGAUCGAAACAUCCAUGCAAUCUGCACGUUGGAUCAAAGAAUAAAGAGAAAUUUGGGGGAAUAUCAAAUGUGAGUUCCCCGCAUCUACUCUUCUUUUAGUUACUUUGGUGUCUUCCUGGAAGUUGUAUGAUCUGAAUGUCUGAUGUUCUGUACGAGAGCAAAGCCAGAUAUGAUUUGGCUUUGUUGCAUGUCUCCAUUAGACUUAGCUGUUUCUCCCCCGAAUUGAUAGAUGACGACUCAGUUAAUAAUGCGGUAUCAAAUAAUUUGUGGCAGCUCUAGGUUUUGAAUGGUUUGAUUACUGGAGUUCUUAUUAUUUUCCUACUAGGCACGUAUG